AUUGAACGCUGGCGGCAGGCUUAACACAUGCAAGUCGAACGAGUGGCGGACGGGUGAGUAAUGCUUGGGAAUCUAGCUUAUGGAGGGGGAUAACUACGGGAAACUGUAGCUAAUACCGCGUACCAUAGGAUGAGCCAAAGUGGGAUUAGUUAGUUGGUGAGGUAAAGGCUAACCAAGCCGACGAUCUCUAGCUGGUCGGAGAGGAUGACCAGCCACACUGGGACUGAGACACGGCCAAGACGCCUACGGGAGGCAGCAGUCUGGAAGAUGGCGCAAUGGGGGGAACCUGACGCAGCCAUGCCGCGUGAAUGAAGAAGGCCUUCGGGUUGUAAAGUGCUUUCGGUAGCGAGGCGUUAACUACAGAAGAAGCACCGGCUAACUCCGUGCCAGCAGCCGCGGUAUAC
rnacentral:rRNA from 1 species